UAAUUGUAUAUCUUCUUUGAUGUCUCAGCAAGAAAAGAAGACUUCUGUUCCCACAAUGCAGUAUCCCAUCCUCGUACCCACUCUUGAACCACACAUGACAACUGCAAGGCUUGAUGUGGUAUGUCAAGAUGUAAAGUCAUUCAAAGCCCUGUUCAAGGUAAUGCACAUGUAUUAGAUCUAAAGAUUCUUUCUUUUCCAUGUCUAGUUGAUAACCUGUUGUCAAACAUUGUAUAAUGUUAAGCUUGCAGUGUUUGAUUGUCACAACUCAAUACUAAUAGCAAACAAUGUCUGUAGAUUCUUAAAGCUGGAAAGCAUCAUUCAAUACAAAAUCAGAAAAGUAUUGGUACAAAAUGGCCUUUGAGUGGUGGUGUUCCGGGUCUGCCUUUCAAAGAAAACCAUCCUAUCAUUCAAAUAUAUAUAGCAGGUUACCAAGAUGGAUCUGUUCGGAUAUGGGAUGCCACAUAUCCUGCUUUAUCACUUGUUUACGAUAUCAAAUCUGAGGUUAGUGAUCAGCUUAUUGUGCAAUCUACAAUCUUUUAUCCAGUGGUGAUUUUCCCCCAACCUCCACCCUUGUUGCAUUUGCAUAUUUAUUGAAACUCAUAUUGGAAACAUGCUUGUCAACGUGAAAUAUAUAAUUGGCAGGUUAAUGAUGUUAAAAUUGGCAAUGCAAGUGUGCCAGUGUCAGCAUUGGGCUUUUGCCCUGAUACUCUACAUCUCGCUGUUGGUGAUGAAAGUGGUGUUGUAAGAUAUAUAAGUAUUUAGAAUUUUUCAUUCUCUUUUUAUUCAAUAGUCUUGACUCUCAAAUGGCUGGUAAUUGUAUCAUGUGGACAUAUGUAGGUACGUCUAUAUGUUCUAAUAAGAAGCUCAAAUACCACAUCUUUGCAUUUCGUGACAGAAAAUGGAACUGAAGGUUGGGUACUUUUUGUUUUCUAUUUGAAUUGCAAACAAAAUUUCUCUUUAUUUGAUUCAAGUGUUGAAUCGUUUUAACAAUAGCUAAUCUUUAUAUACCUUGCUCCAUUGCCAUCUUGUAAUGACAAGUGUAGUGGAAAAAGUUUUUGUUUGUUUGAAGAGUGUUAGACAUAUCUUCCUACAUUGGAGAUCUACUUUUAAAUCUUUUUUACAAAGUUUUGUGGGUGACAAAGGAGAAUGAGGCACUUUGCAGUUAUGCUCUGUCUUGGAGUAUUUUGCACCUACUUGGGAUGUAAUGCUAGAAAUUUAACUUGAGCUCUUUGCUUCCUUACCUAUCAUGGGAUAGGGUUUUUUCCUAAUAAUAAUGCAAUUGUCGGAGAUCUCACAUCAAUGAAAUAUAUGAACAAAAUUAUAAUAUAUAGAUGGGUGCAAAACCUCAUCUUACAAAGUAGGUUUUGUAGGCUAAAAGGCUUAAAGUUCACUUUUAAGAUGGUAUCAGAGAAUAUGAGAGGCUAUCUUAGGAAGGACAAGAUGAACUAGAGUGAUGUAGGUACACCAAGCUCGUUGGGAUGAUUUGGCUGAGUCAACUAUGCAACACAAUUAUGAGGCAUGCAAAGAGAGGGUUAGAAUAGUAGCAUUUCCUUCCUCCAUAAACACAUUCUCCACCCAAGCUUCUAAUUUAGGAUACUAUUCUGGCAAUGAAUCAAUCGUAUGGACCAUGAAACUGUCACUUCAUCAUAGUAAAGUAACAAUGAGCUAGAUGAAGGUCAAUGAAGUCUCUCACUUCAUCUCUCAUGGAUAUAUCCAAGAUUGAACAUGGCUUGUGCAUUGGAUUGUGAUUUGGCAUGCAUGUAAGUUUGAUUUGGACUUAAAGUCCACUUUCUUAAAACGGUGAUGUUAUUGGCAUGAGGAGGUAUGUUAGACUUAAAAGUUCACUUUCUAAGUCAUAAUAAAAACAAUAAAAGUGAAAUAUUACUAUGACUGGUUUCCCAUAAAUCUAUCAUCCAAUAUUUUCUGCCUUGAAAAUGCUUCCACCAGAUUAAUGAGAAUCUAGACAAGUGGACAGAAACCAUGAAACAUGCCUAACACAACUAGUAUGAGGAAGAAUGACAUUGACUCACUUAUAUUUUUACCAGGAACUUAUAAUCAUAAUGCAAUUUUAUGUGUAUGAAUAAGCUAUGUUUAGUGAAAGUGUAGUACGGUAAAAGACAACUAUUAUAAACAAACAAAGCCAACACAUGUACAAGUUUUAUUUGUUUGACAGGUAAAAAAUGUAAAGUUGGAUUCAGGGGCCUCCAGUUGAUUGAGAAAGAUUACAUUAAUAUAAGUUUGCUUAAAGUCUCGGGUUUAAACUCUAAAAUGUUUUAAAUACUCAACUAGUCUUAAUGGAGUUUCCUCUCUCCCCCUUUGUUUCCCAUGAUUUUUGCAACCUUAGAUUUUGAUGCUUUGAAUUUGGGCUGUUAUGAACAGUAAUCAGUCUGAAUGUGUACACAUACACAAAUAUAUAGGAGGAAAAGUUACUCUGACUAGUAGUUCUAAAAAGUAAAUCAUUUUAUUGAUAGAUUAAAAUAAAAUGAAAGAAAGCUUAUGAAGUUACUUUUGGAAUAGUUUGAUCCCUCUUCUUAUAUAUGCAUGUAGUUCAUAUGUAUGUAUGUAUGCAUUCUCCAUGUAAUCAUGAUACUAAUCAGUAAGCCAUGUCAAUAAAAAAAAAGGUGCUUCUCUGAUUUGCUCCCUAAUUGCCAUGAAGAAUUUGAAUAGCUUGAUUGACAUGACCUAAGUUACUUUUCAUGAAUCUGUUUAUGCUAAAAAAUGAUUUGAUAUUUAUAAAUUCAGACUUUAACCUGGUUUUUUCUAUUGGGGCAGCAGUUCAUGACACGCAUCAAGGGGAUGGACCUCAUUGCAAAGCUGUGUUUACCCUUCAAAAUUCUGCUGUAUACGGCUUACAAUUUGCAAACCUUGGAAGAAGACUUAUUGUUGGAUAUGAACAUGGGCAGGUGAGAUAUUGAUUAAUUUUUUCCCCUUUUGAAGGAAUUUAUUUAUUUUUUGUCACCUGAUUGAGUUGUUGAGUGGCUAUUUAAAUUAGCGCUGAGAGUUCCAACUUAUAUUUUUCUAAUCCACUUUACAGGUGGCUAUGCUUGAUAUCAGUUCAUCAACAGUUUUGUUUCUUACGAAAACUGAAUCUAACACUUCUUCGGCAGUUGUUUCUAUGAAUGCAAAAUUUUCAGACAGUAGCUCGAGUAAUACACAGGAAUCUGUAUCUGAUAUUUCUGACAAUCCUGAAAUGGGGCUAAUCUAUGUUGUGACAAGGGAUGCACACUUUGUUGCAAUAGAUGCUGUGACAGGGAAUGUGGUUUGCAGUAGGACAAUUAGCCCCAGAGUACAAUCAAAUGCAAUUUCAAUGCAUAUGAUAGGCAAGUAAUUUUUUAGAGAAUUUGAAUCAUAAUCUGUAAAAGUUUUAUUACUUAUGUUGCUGUUUUAUCUCAGAUGGUAGUACUUCUGACCUACCCGCUGAUAAAGUAUCCCCCAACUCACCUCAGAAGAGUGAUUCUGCAAUGAAAGCUAGCGUCCAAUCUCAAAAUGCACAAGUUGAAGUUGAAAGUUCUACUACCGUAGAGAAAUCAUAUUUGGGGCAGAUAUUAUCGAACUCACUCAUUUUACUUUGUUAUGAGAAUGAAUUGAGCAUACACACUUUAAAUUUUGUGUUUGAGGUGCUGCACUUCAUACCCAUCUUCCUUCAAAUUUCAAUCCAUUCCUUCUUACUGGUUAAUGAAAUUUCCUAGUUACAGGGUAGUAGUAGUAACUACUUUCGUAAGGUGAACCUUGUACAACGAUGCUGCUGGACUACAAUCUUUAAGAAAAAUGAAAAAGAGUGUGUUCUGGUUCUUCUGUAUCAAAGUGGGGACAUUGAAUUAAGGUGAAAUGCUUACUUAUACUACACUGAAUAUGUAUUAUUCUUAUACUUUGUUCAGGGUAACUGUUAUGAACCAAGGAAAACGCACUCAAAGAUAAACCAAGAACACAAAAUCUACUGAAUAAUUUCUGUAUUAUUAUUUCUGCACUUAGAACAUCCACAAAGGAAAACUGUUAUUCCUUUUACGCAGGACUUUCCCUGUCUACCCAACUGAAUUCAAAACACACCCUCACUAAACCGGUUGGUCUUUAUUUAAAGACCACUAACCGCUACUAACCACUACUUUACAAAUCAUUAACCGUUACCUUACAAACCACUAACCGCUACUAAUCACUACUAACCGCUACUUUACAAAUCAUUAACCGCUACCUUACAAAUCAAAUAACUAACUCAUGACUAUUCUAAUUCUAACUAACUCCUGCUCUAUGUGUAUCCUAACAAUACACUCUUCCAAAAAACAACCUUGUCCUCAAGGUUAGAACCAUGGAACCUUGAUUCCGUGGCUCAUCUUCAUCACCAUGUUCUUUAUCUACGCUUUCUGAAAGUAUUGUGAUAUUGUCUAUUAUAGGGGGGAACCCAUUGGCUACUGCAUGCAAAUUCAGGUCUGGAGGUUUAGGUGGUGGUGGGGAUGAGAGAGGAUUUUGUAUAAAAGUCUUUGAACCCAGUAAGUUGAAAUUCCAAGAUUCUGAUGUCAUUGAUGUUCUUACCUUCAUUAUCAAAUCUUGAUCCAACAAUGAUUUCUUAUGCAUAUUAUGUAAAUCUGAAUUUGGGAAUAAAUUAUGCUUGGUGGCAUCUCCACCUUCAGCUUUCUUACUGGUUUUCUCUAUAAUUGGAUUAUCAAGAAAAAGACAUUACAGCACAUAGUCUUCAUUCUCUUUAUUGAUGCAUCUCCUUCUGCCCUCAUCAUUUAUGUUUCUCUUGCAAAUCUCACUUCAUUUUUGGUUUUUUCUUCGCUGCAGAUGGUGUGAUUCUUCAUUGCUGAACCUUCUUCCACAUCUCGGGUCUUCUUCUCUUCAUCAUUAACAGAUUUCUCUCCUCCCUACGACAUCUUGUCACUCUUCUUGUUGUUCCACAGCAAUUCUUUAAUUUCUUUCUUUUAAUUUCUUUCUUUUAAUUUCUUUCAAGUCUAGAAGGCUUUCCUUCAACGUUAUGUCUGCUUUAACAGAUUUCUCUCCUCCCACCGACUUCCUAUCACUCUUCUUGUUGUUCCGCAGCAAUUCUUUAAUUUCUUUCAAGUCCAAAAGGCUUUCCUUCAACGUUAUGUCUGCUCUAACAGAUUUCUCUCCUCUCUCCUACCCCCUUUCUUGAUGUCCCGCAACAUUUCUUUUAUGUUCAACAUGCUUUCCUUCAACCUAGUAAUAUCUGUCUUUAGGCUGUUAAUGUCUGUCUUCAUCUCCACCAUUAACCUCCCCUGUUCGCGGGUUACUUUCUCUAAAGCCACGGUUCUCUGUUCCAUUCUCACUUCCCUUUUUUUUUUAUCUGGCAGGUCGGACCAAUUUGUUACAAACCAAGGAAAACGCACUCAAAGAUAAACCAAGAACACAAAAUCUACUGAAUAAUUUCUGUAUUAUUAUUUCUACACUUGAUACUUAGAACAUCCACAAAGGAAAACUGUUAUUCCUUUUACACUGGACUUUCCCUGUCUACCAAACUGAAUUCAAAAUACACCUUCACUAAAACAGUUAGUCUUUAUUUAAAGACCACUAACCGCUACUAACCACUACUUUACAAAUCAUUAACCGUUACCUUACAAACCACUAACCACUAACCGUUACUUUACAAAUCACUAACCGCUACUUUACAAAUCACUAACCGCUACCUUACAAAUCAAAUAACUAACUCAUGACUAUUCUAAUUCUAACUAACUCCUGCUCUAUUUGUAUCCUAACAGUAACACUAUUCAGUUCAUGAGUGAAGCCACAUUUAAAUGAAAAUAGUCAACAUAAUCCCACCCAUCAAAAAGAAAAGAAAAUUUCCGACUUUGUUUCUUUAAAAAAAAUUGUGAUGGUCUAUAUAAAUUAUAUUAUUAUAUAUUAUUUCGUUAAUUUUAUAUUAUUUCUUACUGGGACUUGGAUUACCCCACAUCCCAGUAUCAAAGUCCCAGUGUUGCUGCAUGAAGCAUACUUUAUACUCUGUAGGGGAAAUCGUAUACUUUUGAGCUCUGAAUCUGUAGUAGUUAUUCUAGAGAUUGUUGUGUUGUUGCUGUACUAUUCUAGCUUUUUGCGAUGUCAUGGCCCACUUAGUUAUAUUCCCCACUCGCCUGUUUUUUUAUAAGUCUAGAUGGAUUUUAUCUCACUUUGAGCAGGUCCUUGCCAGCUUUGGAAGUGUUGGGAGAAAUUUCUUUGAUGUCAUUACUCAGAUGGAACUUGGAAAACAACAUGGAGAAGACAAUAUGUUCUUCAUCAAGUGGAAAAAUUAUUCUGGUUUGAAAUUUUUUAUGUUUUUCAAUGAAGCUAUUUUCUUAUAUGCUGCCAACACUUACAUGAUCUAUCUGUUGUCUUAUGCUUGAUAUGUCAUUUCACAUCUGAAAAAUUUUAAAAUAUUUAUGUAUCUGUAGGAUACUGAAUAAUAAAAUAAGAGUAUACUGUAAGUGGCAUUGGCAGAUUCUGUGUUCCUAGGUCCCAUUAGUUGGAUUUGGACCAGAUUUCAUCUUUAUUUAGCUUAAAAGAGAUUAUUUGUAUGUAAAAUCCCUACUGUUUUUAGUUUAUUUAGAUUAGGGAAAGGAGUUCAUUCCUUUGCCUUUUAGUCUGCUAUGUUAGUGUAUAGUUUUCGUUUUAUAUUUCUGCCUUGUAAUUCGUAUUCGAUCAAGGAAUGGAGAAAAAACAACUUUCUUCCUAAUCUAGAAUACCAAUUGGGCAAUUAACCAAUAUAUUUAUUCAUUUAAAGAUAUUCAAACCGUUAAUCAUGGAAGAAAUGUAGUAAACUGAGUUUCAUUCUGAAACAGUUAAUAGCAAAAAUUUCUUGUUUACUCCAUUUGCUCCUUUUCCCUUUGUGGUAUAAGGCUUUUAUUGUUUUUUUUGUUUCCUCCUUUGUCAGAUUUUCUUGCGAGAGAAACCAAUGUUCCAGUUUAGCAGUGAUCUAAAAUAACUAGCUUUCAUACCUUAUACAAGCUACUACUACAACAACUUAAGAAAUAUAACUUGAUUUAUCUAAUUACACUGAAUAAUCCAUGUUAGAUACAAAACUGUUUUUGAACUUUUUCAACUACCAUCUUGAACAAAAGGGGAAAUCCAUUCAUAUAGUGUCAAAUCCUCUAUAUAAUCAAUUAUUUAGAACUUAGAAGUUUGAUCCUUGCUGUCGUCAUUAUUCUAAUCCUAAAUAGUAAAAAAAUGGGUAAAUGGUGCCCCUGCCACUAGGCCUUGGAGAUGUAUAUUUCACUGCCUUCCCUUUACUUUGAAAAAUUACACUCACUUCCUAUGAUAAAUUAAUAUAUGCUACGCUUUGAUCUAUUUUAAAGCGAAUGAGCUUCCUAUGGAUGAUAUUUUUUUCUCUCUGACUCUGUACAUCUUCAACAACAAUUGAAAUAUUAUUGACUUUGGAAUUCUUAAAGAUGAAUUUAAGAUUUCGGUGAAGUUCCAAAACCAAAACCAAAAGUUUUUGAAAUUUCAUUUCUUCUAAAUUCCUAAAAUCAAUAAUAUAAUUUUAAAAUUAAUUGUCACUGACGCUGAAAUUUAGAGAAGAAAAAUAUCACUGAAAAGGUCUUUAAUAGUUAUUUACCAUCACUAAGAGGUAUGUUCAUAUAAAAAAGUGUAGUAUAUUUUUAUCAGAACUGACGACAGUGUAAUUUAUAGGGGAGUACAGUGUAAUUUAUGGGGAAAGGAAUGUAGUUUAUUAGAAACAUUGAAUUCCAGCACCACGUAAGUGGCCUGGUUCACCGUCCUUUAAAUAAUGGCUACUGUGCAAGGGUGUUAGAUAUAAUGAUAUAAAACCAUUUGUGAGUUUUCAUCUAGCAGCUUUAACAUCUAUACUUCUGCUUUAAGGAAAAAUAAUAAUUAAAACCACCAUACGUUUUAUGGUUUUGGAUUCUUUAAAAAACAUUUUGUACAGACAGUGCAGGAAAACAUGUUUCAGGCAACUCCUGCUGUUCCUAAAAAUGAAGUAAUUUCAAGGUUGUUUUGUUUCUAUAAUCAACUCAUGGCUAUAUUGUUUUACAGGUCAAUGGAAAUGAAACUGCUUGCAUGUCACUAUUGAACUAUGAAAAUGAGCUCUGGUAACUUCAUCAUUCCUCCCUAUUCGGACCAUAUUCAUUUUAUUGAGAAAUUAGAAGUCAAUUCUUAACCCCACAAUUUAGAGCACUAUCGUUAAUGUUCAAACCAUUGGAUAAAUUGUUUCAACAUAGCAAAACUUCUUAUGAAGUUAUGACAAGUUAAAUGAAAUCCAAUUUGAGGGCUGCUAUAAAAAAGAGCCUGGGACAACCGACAGGUGGCUGCCAAAUGUGAUCAACCUCCCUAAAAAAAUGCUUGAGAAAAUUAUAUCUAUAUAGUCUCACUAGUACUUAGAACUUCGGUUUCCAUUAUGAGUUUUCAAAUUCUUGUAGGAUUCCAGAGUCUUUUCCUUGUCUUCAUGAUGAAGUUCUUGCAGCUGCAGUAGAUGCUACAGCAAAUCUAUCUCAAAACCAAAAUGAAAGACAGGUCUAGCUUUUUCAGGAUUGCAGUUCUCUCCCAUUAUUAUUUUUUUCUAGACUUGUAAUUCAACUUAUCUUGCUAUAGGGAGCAUCUGGUAUCUUUGUUAAUAUAGCUAAGAACCUUAAAGCGGGGAAAGCAGAUCAGAAUGCAAAUGAAGCAGUUCAUACCAAUAGAUUGGAAAAUUUAAAACAAUUAUUCUCUAGUCCUCCUUUCUUAAAGUCUUCCUCAAGCACAGUAGAUGACCAAGAUCCUUUUUCCCUUGACAUAGGUUUGUCCUUAACAUUUUCUACUGCCAACUAUUCUUAAUUUUCUUAAAAUGGUACCUUAUCUUUUACAGAUGACAUUCAAAUUGAUGAACUUGUAGUCUUUUCAUCUCCUAAGAAAAUCGAUAUUGACAAGAGAGGUACAUCGUAUUGUUUUAUUUUCUCCCGAAAGUAUCAUAUGAUUUAUCUUGAAUAUUGAGGUCGCCUUGCAGAUAAAGGGAAAGGAACGGACAGACCGAAAUUAUUUGAAGAUAAAGGGAAAGGAGCAGACAUACUGAAAUUAUUUGAAGCUAAAGGGAAAGCAACCGACAAGCAGAAAUUAUUUGAAGAUGCAAGCACAGACUCGAAACCAAGAGCUAGAACAACUGAAGAAAUUAAAGCUAAAUACAGAAAGGCGGGGACAGGGGUAAAUCGUAGAUCUGAAAACUCUGUAAAUUACGCAUUUUAACUCACAUAUCUUGACUUUUCACUGGUUUCAGGAUGCCUCGGCAGCAGCUGCACUUGCAAAGGAUAAACUUGUAGAGCGGCAACAAAAGCUCGAGGUAUAUAAUUAUGUGACUCCUUUCUCCAUUACCUGUAUCUUAUUUUUCACAAUUUCAAACCUCUUCUUUUCAAAGAACAUAAAAAGCUGAAUCGACAAAAAAAAAUCCAUUUUAAAC
rnacentral:lncRNA from 1 species